AUUCAAGGUCAAUAAAAUGUUCAUCAUAAGCCUGAACAGAAAAGGGGAGGAUGGGCUAAAGAGAAAACUGCACUGCAUAAAAGCAAGAAUGUAACCUAAACAAGUGGGCAGAUCAUUGCUGGGGUUAUUUCUUUACUUUGAACAUCUGUCCCUUCGCGAUCUUCUGGUGUUGAAUGGAACAUUUCUAUCGGUUUUGGUGCUGGAAUUGGUAGGUUUGCACAAGUUGAAUGUGGCUUCAUCGAAUUUAUCUUCAAUCUUAAGAUACGAUGAUUGCAGCAUCUCUGCACAAAAGCCCUGGUCCUGAGAACUAAAGAUGACCUUGGAGCAGGUUCCUAGAUGCUACACUGACAAAAACAAAUGGAGGCAGGAGAAACGACUGAAUGGGGCUAAACUAUGAAUUUAGCACAAUUAACUCAGUUAAUUCAAUGCCAUGGAUAUGAUCACUCCCUGUUUCACAUUAAGGUUCCAUUUGUCAGUAAUGUCUGCUGGAGAAUUAAGAAAUAGAAUAGAAUAGAGCUGGAAGGGACCUUGGAGGUCUUCUAGUCCAGCCCCCUGCUCAAGCAGGAGA